CUUAAUCGUUACUCUUUCAUCCGUAUUGCUUCAUUCUAUCCCGAUCGAUGGCCUCUGAAAGUGGUGCACAGUGGUUGCAUUUGGAAAUUUGGGGGUAUCGGGUAGUCACGGUGUAGGUUGAAGAUAUUUCUAAUCCGUAGUAGUACACGUGGGCCGUAUAGAAUUCUACAGGGUGCACCAGCCGAUGGAAAUGAUGUAACGCGGUCGUAAAAUCGCGGGUGGGAAGUUUUAUUUAUGAGAUAUUUAACGAUAGCUUGGAAAGUUUCAUUUGGACUCGGUUAGGCUAGGUGAAGAUAGGGUCAGAUAUUAACUAUGGAAAGUUAGUAUUUUGUAAUUAUAUUCAUAGCUGAUGGCGUAUUUACUCAUUAAUUAUAUUAAAGCGAAGUUAUGAUACUUGUAGAUAAACUACUUUUUUUUUAUUUUAUUAUAUCUUAUCGCACUGUAUGUAGUUUUAGAAGUGAACAGUCAGGGGGACAUUUGCGAGAAUGGAUUAACAUUUAGGGUACUUGUAGCACUGAAACUGAAUUGGAAAAAAGCAAGUAGGAUACAUUAGAAAACAUUGAAGAUGUAUUUAAUUUUAUGUAUGCAUUUAAAUCUUCAUUUUGUUUGGUAUGUUUAAUUAAACAGCAAAGUCUGGCUCAGGCAGAUGUUACAAAAGACAAAAGGUUUCUGGUUAAUUGAAUGUUCGCGAAAUGUUCUGAUCUUCUCCAUUCUGUGGAAGCAAUAGCCUUCGAUUGAAGAUGCGCCGUUUGAAAUAUAAUUGGAGGAUCGUAUUUCGCUAAAGAUGAAAGGAAUUCAAGUAAUGCUCAUAUCGGAUGUCUAAUUUGUUCUUAAAAUUAUUAUAUUCAUCUUCUCAUUUAUUCCAUUAAUGAAAAAUGGAGCUUAAAUCAUUCCACUCAGCUGUAUCGUCCAUCGACGAUAUUUCCUCGUACAAGAUCGAGUCUUCGAAUACAGUUAAAAUAGGCAUGACCGUGUUGCUUAAACUAUAUAUAAGAUACGACGAGGCGGACGAGGAUGAAUCUCUGAAGAGAAGAACAAAGGUGGAAUCGCGUGAAUGCAAAUUCUUGGCUGCACGUGUGCAUACUUUGGUUCGCUUGUUGUUCCUAGCUUAAUACUAAAGCAAUCAGACUCGUCAUAAAAAUCAUCGAUCGCCAAAUUUUUAUUUCGAUAUUGAUAUUGAUUCACUAGGUAUUCUAAAUUUAUUUUACGUCCUCUUUAUCGAAUAUCUUCUAAAGGUCAUCCACGAAUUAUAUUUAUUAAAAAAAAAAAAAAAAGCAAAUUCUUUUUUUCAUUUCUUACUUUGAUAUUUUCAGCCUGUUUCGUAAGAAGUGUCCUCGUUCUUAUCAACAUUUCGAAAGGUGACAUCACGUUUAUAUACGAUCCAUCGAAGCGAAGACACUUGUGGACAUGGUUUAACAUUUUUCUCCGGUUUUUCUCCUCUUCGCAAAGUUGAUUUUUCUCUGGAAACACGGGCCAAGAGUGAGAAAACGAUAACGCAUCGUAUCUGAUGAUAAUAUUUACACGUCGCGACGUUUUAUCGUUUUAGUCACCCUUCGAUCCGGUUAAGGGACUUCUUUUUCACGAUUUUAUCUUCUCCUUGUACUCUGUUUACAGAUUUCAAUUCGUUUUUGCCUCAAAAAGUAAACAUUAAAAUUUUUUUCUUCUUCAGAGUCUCCAAUCUCAAUCGAUAGUUCUCCGGAUAAUGGAAAAGGAAGAAAUUUAAUCUUCUUAUCGAAGAAAUGACAGGAAAUGUAUCAAGGAUUGCUUUUCAUUUAUGAUAAGGGAUUAACGGGAGAUUUAAUUGCAUCGGCUAUUUAAUGACAAUUAAAUCUUGUUUAGAGAAGGAAUGAUUAAACUCUGCAUCUGCAGAUGAGUCACUGCCACAAACGACUGUGUAAUAAUUCUUAUCCGAAGACGUAAUUAAGAGAAAUCGUUGUUAAUUGAACCGUUGAUACUCGGUUAAUUCAAACAACGUUCCCAUACUGAUCUAUCUCUGGCAUAAUUGUAUUCAAAUUGAAUUUCCUCUAGUUCAACGGAGCAUACGUAUACACCCACGAUUCUCAGUUUAAUCGAAUCGCCAAAAGUUCAAUUUCAGAAGUAUAAAUAUUAAUGUUACAAUUUUACCGUUUCACAAAAAGAAGCAGCAAGCAGGCAUGGGUUUAAUCUUCCGUCGGUUCGCAUAAACAAUCCUCACGGUUUAUAUUCUAGCCAUUUGGUGCGCUUAAACGAAUUCUAGAUAUUUUACUGAGAAUUUGGAUCUUUGUUUACAGCCAGUUACAGACAAAGGGUGCUCGACGAAGGUCCGUCGUAAAAAUCGACGCCAAGAAACGAACAGGUUCAGUGUUUUUUUUCCCUCCAAGGGUCCUGGUAGACGAACUUAGAGGCCGAAUCGAAGAUAGAUGAAUAAAAAUGCUGUUCGUUACGAGACUGAAUGUUUUCAUUAAACUGAACAGAUUAAAUUGCACUUCGAUCGGAAUAUCGCGGAUACAAAUGACCCUUGAUGGUGAUCUUCUUUUCGCUGAGAGAAUCCGCAAGGAUAAAACGAUCUCGUUAAAAUGAAGGACCCUUGUGGAGACAACGGGGGCAGGCUCGCUUGUUACUUGGAUUGAAUUAAUUCGAACGUGGGUAGGGGGGUUUCUUGAGAUAACGAUCGUAUUGUCAAGACUGAGGAGAAGGUAAUUUGAGGAUGAAGGAUUCUUUAAAAUGUUGAAAUGAACGGUGUUCAUGCGGACCGACGAGAGUAUACCUAUUAUGGAUAUUGACCUGAAUAUCGAGUACACAUAAGUGGGGUUUGCCCUGGCUUCAUUGAAUAAAUACACCUUUGUUAGAUCAUCGAUAAAUCAUUCUGAUAAAAUCUCUCUUUAAACAAUUAACUGAGUACACAUUGCAAAAAUCGUGGUUUGACUUUUUAUUAUAAAUGAAGUGCAAACAAAUUUAAUGAAAUUAUGUAAAAAGUAGAACUCACAAGCAGGCUUUUUAAUUUCCACUUGAAAAGAAAAUUUGACUUUGUAACCAACGGGUGAGGUGAUUGUUUUCCGGAAAUGUAAAGUAACAGGAUCACAGAAAAGCAGCAGAAUUUCAUAACUCCAUCUAAAGAUGCUCAUGAAUCAGUGAAACAAAUGACAUCAUAGUGGUUUCCGGAUUUUUCUGAAUUAAUUCAAGAACGAGUUAUCAAAUAUUACUCAACGAUUCUAAAAAUACAAAAGGAUUGUUCGAUGGUCGUUGGUUUUCUCAGAAAUACUGUUUACCAGAAGAAAAUUUUUAAUAUGCCCGAUCGUAAUGCCGUAGAAGGAAAUUCUUAUCUAGGAAGUAGCGAAAUCCCAGAUCGAGGUGAAAGUAAAUUUAUUUCCUAUUCAUUAUCAUAUUUUUUUUUUUAAUCCGAUAGCGACGAAACGUAAUUUAAUAGACUUCCACCGGUGCAUUUUAAUCGAUUAUUCUUUUUCAAUCUCCAAACGGUGAACAGGCGACGGUUUCCGGAAAUGACGUUAAAAUACGAUUCGAUUGAAAGUGAAAAAUGUUGCAACUUGUUUCCAAGAAUAUUACAAGCAGUAAAACAACUUCGAUCGCGUUACAACGCGUUCGAUGUGAAACGAAUCGCGGCGAACGAAUAUGAACGUCGACAAGUACCCGAGGAGAGUUACUGAAGCGGCUCUUUGCAAAUAUCACGUGUCAUUAUUAGUGACGCGUCGAAAUAUAUGAUCGCUAGAUCUGGUGAAAGGGAAUCUCUCCUCUCUUUCGCAUUUUCCAUUCGUUUCGCAUGGUGUUUCAGUCUCCUGUAACUUAUACCAGGUUUAAGUAAAACAUAAAACGUGAUAAAGUAUCUUCAGAGAUACCUGUAUUUUCAAAAGCUCACUAGGAAUAAUUUCUCCGGCUUCUUCGUCGUCACCGGGACGGAACUGGGAAAUCGUGAAAAACAUGAAUGAAAAGUAGCACGCAGACAAAAGAGAAAGGGCAAAAAACGAUUCUGGUUUCACGCUAGAGCUUUAUAUUCAUCGCGCGAAAGCUUUUCAUUAUUUCGAAGCUGGAUCGCGAGAACCGCGGGAAACAUCGGGGCGGGGGACCAGUUCGCAGAUUUUGUUCCAUUUUUCUCUACUCGGUACUCCAGCACGGAACGAGCCACUGGAAGAUCAACCGGAGCGAUAAAGAGGUUAAAAUAGCGGCGCGUCGAACCGAGAAACUAGCCCAGCAAUUUAGAGGGAGGAAAUAAUGUGCAACGAGUCGAAUGAAAUCGUUAAUUAAGAGCUUCGCGCUUUAUGACUCCAUGCGAUCUUUGCCGCGGCGAACCGUGUAAUACGCCCUACCGUUUCGAUUGCUUUUGUUAUUCAAUCGUAUACCUAUACGCCAGAUGAAAAAUCUGCAUUUGAUUCUAUUCAGGCGAUUAUGCUUUAAUCAAUAAUAAGAGCUAGAUGGGAGCGUAAAAUCAACCUACACGGUGAUUUAAUAUAAUUUCAAGAUGAUAGAGUGUGAUUGAGUAUGUAAAACACCUUAAUAGAAGAGUUUUCAUUGUCUCCUCUUUGGAGGCCUCGAUAUGGGAGAUACCUCGUUAAAUGGUGAAAUUUAAUUAAAAAAAAUAUUUAAAAUU